rnacentral:rRNA from 1 species
UGCCAGCCGCCGCGGUAAUACGGAGGGUGCAAGCGUUGUUCGGAUUUAUUGGGCGUAAAGCGAGUGUAGGCGGUUUAGCAAGUCGGGUGUGAAAGCCCAGGGCCCAACCCUGGAACUGCAUCCGAUACUGUUAGGCUAGAGUCCCGGAGAGGAUGGCGGAAUUCCCGGUGUAGGGGUGAAAUCCGUAGAUAUCGGGAGGAACACCAGUGGCGAAGGCGGCUUUCUGGACCGAUACUGACGCUGAGACGCGAAAGCGUGGGGAGCAAACAGGAUUAGAUA